rnacentral:rRNA from 1 species
CCUACGGUGAGCAGCAGUGAGGAAUAUUGGUCAAUGGACGAGAGUCUGAACCAGCCAAGUAGCGUGAAGGAUGACUGCCCUAUGGGUUGUAAACUUCUUUUAUAAAGGAAUAAAACGAGGCAAGUGUGCCUUUUUGCAUGUACUUUAUGAAUAAGGAUCGGCUAACUCCGUGCCAGCAGCCGCGGUAAUACGGAGGAUCCGAGAGUUAUCCGGAUUUAUUGGGUUUAAGGGGAGCGUAGAUGGGUUGUUAAGUCAGUUGUGAAAGUUUGCGGAUCAACCGUAAAAUUGCAAUUGAUACUGGCAGUCUUGAGUACAGUUGAGGUAAGCGGAAUUCGUGGUGUAGCGGUGAAAUGCUUAGAUAUCACGAAGAACCCCGAUUGCGAAGGCAGCUUACUAAACUGUGACUGACAUUGAUGCUCGAAAGUGUGGGUAUCAAACAGGAUUAGAUACCCUUGUAGUC